CAUUUAUGACUGGCUGAAUAUACAGAUGUGGAUGUAAACUCACUUAUACACGCUCUUUUUGCUGACAAAAUGAAUUAGUUACAUUUGAACCACACAGUGAAGAUUCAGAACCGCAAGCCAUGUAGCUCUUCAAAUAGGGAAUCAACUUCUCCAAAGCUGCCAACUGCUUCUUGGUAUCCUGCAGAGUAGUGAAACACUCAAAUACAAAAUACAAGGCGUAACAGUGAUAAAAUCAUUUGAAUUCAUUCUCCAUAACUUGGCACAAACUCUGAAUCAAGGUGGUCUUGAUCUGAUGAUGUCCCACCCUUUAUUUCAUCAGGACACUUGUGGCAUACUUGCUGGUCAGUGUUGGUUAUCUGAGCCAUGCUUCCAUUGCUUCCCCUCCUCCCCCUCUUCGGAAAUGCUUCCGUUUGUUAUGACCAAUUUGCAACAUGUGCUUGGCUAAUAAGGAGAUCAUGACAUUGCAAGAUUUUGAAAUAAAAUGGUAUAAAUUUCAGUCCAUGUAGUUGACCCUUAUCCAUUUCAAUACCUGUUACCUUCUGCUCACAAUGCCACGCUCAGUACAAAGCACAAUAUUUCAGUGCGCAACAAACAAUCAGGAAUAACCCCGUUUUGUGUGGGGGUAAUUAGCCACGGAAAAUAAUCUGCAUUGAUAUUUGAUUGAAGUUAUGCAAAUAUUCCAUUGAAAUUUCGGCUUAAUACAUGAACAUCAGAAAAAACAUCUAUGGAGAAUGGAAAUUAAGUAGAAUUGAUUUGAAUGUCGGAAAAACUGUCUUUUUUAAAUACCAUGAAAAACAACCAUUGUGCCUCACCAAGCCAUAGAAAGAAUAGUGGUAUACAAUUAGAUAAACCACAAUAAAUGCAACAAAAACUAAAUCCGAAAAGAGGCGAUAUGAGAGAAGGGAUCGAGAAGGAGCUCGGAAAUAGAGAGAUGCUUGGCUUCGUGCACGCCAUCCAUCGUAGGCAACAUUAGGAUUGGUGUUGUUGCUCUAGAUGAGUGGCAUACAGGGAGCCAGGCACAUCUCAAACCAUCGCCACCUAUGCUUACUCUGCCUGUAGAAAGAAGAUCUCUGUAGUUCCCUUGCAGCUUCAAACCAUGGCAUUGCCAUUGCCAAUGCAAUGCAAGCGUGGUCUAGUGAAUCAAAGCUCUUGUUCUAAGGAUGAGAAUGCUUGUUGUGGUGAAGGAAGGAGGUAGAGGUGCCCAGCCUUUAUAUAGGCCGUGUGAUAGGUUGGAAGGAAGAUCCCCGACAUACAAGAAAUAUACAUACAAAAAAAACAGUAGAGAAGCGAUAGGAAGUUAGUUCAUGGCAUUUCUCAAAUCUGCGCUGCAGCUAAUUUUACCUGUGGUAAUAAAAACAAGGACACACUGUUAUUCUACCAGAAGCUUAGCUUUGCCUCUCUCUCUCUCUCAAAAAAAAAAGAAAAAGCUAGCUUUGCACGAAUUAAGCGGCCUACAACG
rnacentral:lncRNA from 1 species